rnacentral:tRNA from 12 species
GGAGGAUUAGCUCAGCUGGGAGAGCGUCUGCCUUACAAGCAGAGGGUCGGCGGUUCGAGCCCGUCAUCCUCCA